rnacentral:rRNA from 1 species
AACGAACGCUGGCGGCAGGCCUAACACAUGCAAGUCGAACGCACCGAACGGUGAGUGGCGCACGGGUGAGUAACACGUGGGAAUGUACCCUUUGGUCCGGAAUAACGUCUGGAAACGGACGCUAAUACCGGAUGAGCCCUAAGGGGGAAAGAUUUAUCGCCAAAGGAGCAGCCCGCGUCUGAUUAGGUAGUUGGUGGGGUAAAGGCCUAACAAGCCGACGAUCAGUAGCUGGUCUGAGAGGAUGAUCAGCCACACUGGGACUGAGACACGGCCCAGACUCCUACAGGAGGCAACAGUGGGGAGUAUUGGACAAUGGGGCGAAGCCUGAUCCAGCCCUGCCGCUUGAGUGAUUAAGGCCUUCGGGUUGUAAAGCUCUUUCGCACUCGACGAUGAUGACGGUAGCUUGAGAAGAAGCCCCGGCUAACUUCGUGCCAGCAGCAGCCGCGGUAA